GACUCCGUGGGAGUAGGACCCUCCGAGCCAGGUGUGGGAUAUAAUCUCGUGGUGCGCCAUUUUUCAAGCCCGUCAGAAAAGCGCAGUAUUCGGGUGGGAGUGACCCGAUUUUCCAGGAGUCCUAACCUAAAAUAAAAUAGAACAUACUGUGCUUAAAGCAAGGGGGGAAUCAUGUAACAAUAAAACCAGUGAAGAAAAUUCUAAUGCUCAGGUAAGAAGGACAGGAGUGCUACGUACAGACAAAAAGGUUGAAAUGCAAAAAAAUAUUAACUAAUCAUGAGUGGGAUGCCUGAUGGGUGAGUCUUUGUUGGAAGAAUUAUUCCUUAAAAACAAGGGCCUUUCAGAAGAAGAACGUGUUAGAUAAAAAUGGACACUUUUCAACAAAGGUUUCUGAGCUCCCAGCUUGAAGAAUAGCAAUUUCCCUCCCAGCUCAGAGAAGUAAAAACUAUUCCUUCUUUGAUGUGGUUUCAUGUCUCACGUAGGAAAUAGGGUUAUGUGGGUGAUAAAAAUAAAUCAGCUCUGAGGCUCAUGUUUUCUUCUCUGGCAGCCUAGGGGGUGUGUUUUUAUUUUGUGAGUGUGAAACUGAAAGGUAUAUAAAAAAAGUUGCCAUUGAUAUAUACACACACAAUGAAGCCAAGCUAUGGAACAAUGGAGGAAUGCCUAAUUCAUUAUGCCAGAAAAUGGAUCAUUACCAUCAAUACCACAUGGAGUUAAUCAUUUCCAAAGAGCUAUAGUACCAGGAUAUCCAUAACACUGCACCUAAAUGGAAUAAUGUUUUAUUUUUUCUUUGAUCUGUCACAGGUACUUCAAUCUUUGCCAGGACUCUAGUGACACUAUAAACAUUUCAUUACAUUGUUCCUAUGAAUUACACAAACCUUGUGAUAGCUCUUGAAGUUAAUUGAAUUUUUUUUAAAUUCCCAGUAUUAUCUUGUUUGUCAUUUUGUAAUGCUUUAUAAAAUAACAUGGAACCUGACCCUCCUUUUCUUUUCCUGGCUAUUUGCAUUUAGGUUAAAUGGGAGUUUUUUCUUUACAACUAAGGAUAAGGAUGAAAACAGCUAGUUGAAACCCAAGAGUAAGGUAAUCUGUUCACGUUAAGAAACUAACAAAAUGGGGGUAGCAAGCGUGGGAGGGGCGAAUUCAUGGUUUAGGAUCUUUCUGCUUUCUUUGAUAGGAUUUGGGUUAGAAUAAUCUUGAUGCAAAUAAAAAGUGGAUGAGGAGUCUUUGAAUUUCAUUUUUAAGCCCUCAAUGCUCUGGGCAUCUGUUCAUCUUCAGCCUCAUCAGGUGAGGCUAGAACCUGACCUGCUUCCCAAGCUGUACCCAUCUGUGCCAGAAGUGAGUGCGUGACCAGCACAGUGGUGCUUUUCUCAGUCUCUCCUGGGGGUGGGUUUGGACAUGCAUGUUCUUUCUGGGAGAAACCAUGGACCAGUGUUGCAGUAUGGUGGAUAGGCAAUGCCAGCCUGCUCUAGAUCCCCAUGACCUGGCCCACAACUCCCAAGUUAGCAAGAAGAGCAGUGAGGCAGAGCAGAACAAGUACCAGACUUCAAGCCAUGCCACCUCGGUUCUCGACAGUCCUCUGUCAGCUCUCUGGGCCUCAGUUUCCUCAUCUGGAAAGUGAGGAGGACUAUGCAUUUUAACUAACGUUUACCACUUAGCACAUGCCAGACUCAACCUUGGACCCUGGGCACAAAUAAAAAUAAGACAUCGUUCUCGUCCUCCAAGGACUCAGGGGAGGAGCUGGGAGGAAUGUAGACAAACUUGUAACCAGAUAAUGAUAUUGCAACUUGGUAAGUUCUUAACCCAGGUAUAAACAGAAAGCUGUCGAAACCCAGAGGGAGAACCAGUUAGAUUUCAGAUCACUUCGGCAAAGCCACAAAGAGCACAGGCUUUGAAGCCAGAGCACUUGGGCAAGAUCUGGCUUCCCCCUUACUAGCUGUGUGACUUGGGACAAAUUACUUAAGCUCUCUAUGCCUCAGUUCCUCAUUUUUCAAAUGGAGGUGAUAGUAGUGCCUACCCCCUUGGAUUGUUCAAGUGAUUAGGACAGUGCCUGGCAUGUAAUGAGUCCUACAUAUAUUAUGCUAAUGUUACAGAAUUCCCAGAAGUCCAUGAGGCUGAAAAGGAGCUAGUGAAUGGAAGGGAAUCCUUAAUUGAAAAAAACAAAUCUAGCUGUGUUUUAGAGAGAAUAAAGACAAGCAUAUAUUUUGUGCUUAUUAGGUGUCAGAUGGUUCACUAAAAUCCCCACCUGCCACCCCCCCUUGGAUGCCCAUAAGUCAGUGUCCAGGCUGCAAGCAGGAGCAUUUGGCAUGGUUAGGAGUACAUGGCAUGCUUAGGGGUGUUCUGCAUUAGGACUAGGGAAGGACCACUGUUUGAUCUGCAACAGCUCCCAAAGAACACACACGGAUAAACUAACCAUCCCCUUGCCAGCCUAGCUAGGUCAGACGGUGGAAGCAAAGUCUGGGGCAGGAACAUUUUCGGGCCUCGUUGAUUCCUGCCUCUAAGAGGGCAAAUAAGCAGGUGGGUGGGUCUUUUAGCUUGGGGAAGGCAAAACUUGGGCAGAACUUGGACCUGGCAGGAAUGAAGGCUGUUGGGCUGGCUGGGUGUUAGCUGACUCAGGCCAGGUGAGGGCAACUGUGGGCUGUUUGGGAAAGCCCUUCUGGGAAAUGCAAGUCAAAGAGAUGGGGUAGAGAGACUCAGGAGGCUGGGCAGGGGUGUUUAUGAGCAAUGCGAGAGGAAGGAGAUCACAUGAGGCCCUGGAAAUACAACAUUGAGUAGGACAGGAAAACAAGUCACAUGAGCACACACCUGAGAUGGCCAGAGUCACGGAAACAGGGGUGCGCUGGGAAAUAAUCAACAACAAGCUCUCAUGGGGCAGGAAGAGCCACAGAAUUUGCUGAUUUCCCAAGUGUAGAUACCACCACUGUAGCUAACUUCAAUCUAUCAAUGUGAUGUCACUAAAGUGCCCGUGAAACAUUAUUUCCACCGUACAGAUACGAUAGAGUUACAGAUGGCCUCAAGUGCCUUGAUAAUAGUAAAAUGUAGGAAAAGAAUUAGAAAGUGAUGAGUUCUGGGUAUUUAUUACCUUUGUUUUGAAUAGAGUUUUUAAGUUAUAAAUUUAUAUAAUUUAAUUUUAAAUAAUAACCAUGGUUUGUAAUUGGCUUACAAAGUUCCUGAUGAUUGAACCAUCAGCCUGAGGAAGUUGGAGUAAGCUGGCUCCAAAGUGCUACUACUUGGGAAUCUUACUGAAUUCCUUGGAGCCUCAAUUUUCUCAAUGUUAAAAUGGGAUCUUUUUCUCAUCAAAAUAAUCAUAACUGGAUCACAGGGUUCUUGUGACGGUCAGAAAAGUAUGUAAAAGCAUUUCAAAAACUGUAAGCAGCAUAUAAAUAUUAUAUACAAAUACAAUUUAUUCUCAUGGGUACAGUAACUUAGUGGUCAAAAGGGUAGUGUCUGGAGCCUGGAUCUGCCAAUCCUGGCUCUGCUUUUGUUUAGUUGUGUGACAUGGGCAGAUCUUUACUGUUUUGGGGCCUUAAUUUCCUCACCUAUGGAGUUUCUGUGAGGCUUAAGUGAAUUAAUAUUAUAAAGCACUCCUACCAGUGUGUGGCACAUGGUGAUCACCAUUUAAGUAUGGACUAAAAUUGUUUAUCAACCUGAAGAGCAGUCAGCUUGCAGUUCUUCCAGAACCAGAAGGUCUUUUAACUGAGAAAUCCAAGAUCCUGGCCUCCUCACGGCUUGGAUUAAAGGGCCAGUUCCCCUCUAAGCUAACUGACUUGCUCUGUGCUACUGGCCAGUGCUUUUUAAAUAAUGAACCCCGAAGCCUAAUUGCGGAGAUAAAGAUGCUGCUAGAAUCAGAUUCCACAGCCACUCACCAUAGUAGCAGGGGGUAAAAGAGCUAUCUUAUUACAUGCCUGGCUGGCUCAAUUACUUCAGUCCUGACAUAGACAGACGCUGGAGCCAGCCCAGGGCAGAGCCCUGGAGUUGGAGGGGUGGCUAGCUGCCCCACGGACCCUGGUCUCAUUUACCAUCUCUGUCACUAUAGUCCCCUGGGCUGGGCAAGGGUAAGAGAGUAGCCAGAUAGGAUAAGAGAGAUGGAGAAGGACAAUUUGAGGCAGGAGAUAGGAGUCAUGGCUCAUGGCUGCCAUAGUAGCCACAGAGUGGCUCAAGGAAUUCAGGGUUCUCAGGCAGAGUCAGAGACAGGUUUGAGGAAGGCGUGUGGGAAGGUGGUCAGGAUCUCCUCACCAGGGAUGAUGAAUUCACGUGCCAUGACAGACAGAUGAGAAUAGAAAGACAGGAGCAAAAAAAGCCUUGGUCUGCAAGGUAGAAAAACCAAGGCAGGUUGGUAGGGCAAGGUUUUUCAAACUAAGGAAUUGCAUCCACUAGAGAGUCCUGAAUUCCACGUAGUGGGACCAUCAUGUUCUUUUUCUCAACAAACUUGAAUAAAAUCCUGUGACAUAGACUGUGAAUAUAGAUUGAUGUCCAUCAAUCCCAUUUCCUCUUUUUGGGUGCUCAGACCAUGUUUCCCUGUGGCCCUUGCAGCUGGAGACACGUGACUAGUUUCUGGCCAGCAGAGUACAGGCAAAAGUGGUAGAAGCCACUUACAAGCCUAACUAUAAAUCCUCCCGAGUGAUUCUCUCCUAUCCUCUCCCUUCCCCUCCGUUUCCCUCUCCUUUCAUCCCCUCCCAUCUCCUCCCUUUCCCUCUAUCCUCCCUGUCCCCAUUUAUGCCAUGAUCCUGUGUUGAAGAUGGUGGCACCAUGAUAUAGAAAGAGCCUGGAGCCCUAGAGGAGGAAGAAGGCCAUUGAGCAGAGCUUCCUAAUAAGGAUCAGGCUACAACAUGAACAAGAAAUACACUUUUGUUAAAUCACUGAGAUUUAGGGGCUGUUUGUUUCAGCAGCUAGCAAGCAUUGCCCUGACUAAUAACUACAACAAUAAAAUGGAAUGGGGUGGAAGGGAGGGAACAUAAUGGAAUAUAUUCAAUUAAACUAGAGUAGAAUAGAACAGAACAAAAACUAUCAAAGUGCAUUGCAGGUAGUGAAAAAUAAAUAUUGUUUGAUGAAGCAUUUGUUUCAGUUCAGUUCAUAUGGAUACUCGUUUUUAAUAUGAAUUUUAUUUUUUUUGCUGGAGGUGGAGGUGGAAAGUUUUGAAAAUCACUGCCUUAUAGCUGGAGGGAGGGUUGGGGGUGUGAAUCAUGAGAAAGCUUUAGGUAAAAUGGGGAUGCAUAUCUACAACCCUUUAAGAAGCAAGCUAUGCACUUGCUAGCCAUCCCUACCUUGUAGAUGUUUGUCAUGGAAGUUUGUCGAUUGUGGCUGUUCAAUCCACCUUCCCUUCCUUUGGUAACACCAUCCCAGUCUUAGUCUAUAUAGUUUGUCUGGAGCUAACUCUGUCCGUUGGAAUCAAGGAGGAGGACACACAUAUGAAGCCUAGAAAAUCAAAGUGUUCCAUUCCUAGAGCCAUAGUGAUUCAGUGAUUGGUUUAGGAAUGAACACCUGACCCAAGUUGGUCCAGUCAAACUGGGACUUUGGCUGGAGUUGUCAUAAAAAUAAGUGUUUUAGUUCCCCUGGUUUUGGAGUUGUGAGGAUAUAAAUCUGAAGCUGCUGGCAGCCAUCUUGCUAUUAUAGGAGAGAAUGUGCUUAAGAAUAGCACCAUCAUUGAAGAAGGCAGAGCGAGGAGAUGGAACAAAACCAAGUCCUGCUGACAUCAUUUGAACUCCUGGAUUUAGCCAUGCCUGAAGUCAUCCUUGUAGUUUUUAAUUGAUUCUAUACUUUCACCUCUUUGCUUCUUCCCAUUUGAGUUGGGUUUUUGACAGUUGUAACUGAAAGGGUCCUGAGGCUGUGUCUUCUACAUCUUUAAGAUGUCUUUUUUUUUUUUUUUUUUUGGUAAAAUGGGCCUCAGAAAAAGUGGAAAACAGCUGGUCCUCAGGAUCCUCCAGCCUUUGCCAAGGAAAAGUGGUUUUAAUCACUGAAGAAUGAGGCUUCAACAUAUGGAAAGACUGUAAGGUGUUCCUGGACAGCAAGUGAGUGACUUGCUCACAGGCGGUAAUUCAGGGACCCAGGUUUCUUCUACCUGGUAGCUCUACUGUCCUUCAGAACCUCAGAGCCCUGUGCAUUCAGCCAGCAGGAGAAAGACCACUACUAAGGUCAUUCACUUUGGGAGAAGCCAGUCUUCAUGCCAUGAGGACGUUCAGGCAGCCCUGUGGAGAGAACCACAUGGAAAGGAUCUGAGGUCUCUCACCAGCACCAAUUUGCCAGCUAUGGGAAUGGGCCACCUUGGAAGGAGACUGUCCAGCCCAAGUGAAGGCUGCAGAUAACUGCAGCUUUGGCCAACAUUUGGCUAUAUUGCUUUGGGAAAUCUCAAGCCAGAACCAUCUGGCCAAGCUGCUCUUAAAUUCCUGAUCCACAGAAGUUUUGGAAGGUAAUAAAUGUUUAUUGUUUUAAGGCACCAAGUUUCAGGGUGAUUUGUUACCAGUAAUAGAUAACUAAUAUGUUUGGCAAAAUGGCUACAUGUCUGUCAUUCAGAGAAGCUUCUGCAAUAAGAGGCCUUCCAUUGUGCAGGAAACUGACCUACCUGGCUUUGCUUUUCUAGGGGUGGUGGCCAUAGACCAAGUGUGAGGUUGUUGAUCAGGGUUAGAGCUGUGAUCAUGAAGGAAAAA
rnacentral:lncRNA from 10 species